rnacentral:rRNA from 1 species
CAGUAGCCGCGGGAACACAGAGGGUGCGAGCGUUAAUCGGAUUUACUGGGCGUAAAGCGUGCGUAGGCGGCUUUUUAAGUCGGAUGUGAAAUCCCUGAGCUUAACUUAGGAAUUGCAUUCGAUACUGGGAAGCUAGAGUAUGGGAGAGGAUGGUAGAAUUCCAGGUGUAGCGGUGAAAUGCGUAGAGAUCUGGAGGAAUACCGAUGGCGAAGGCAGCCAUCUGGCCUAAUACUGACGCUGAGGUACGAAAGCAUGGGGAGCAAACAGGAUUAGAUACCCGUGUAGUCCUGUCUCUUAUACA